UAACUAUCUUUGCUCUUCUAUUGCUUGGUUUUCUCUAUUGCCAGCAAAGGGAAGGAACAUGACAGUCAUUCUUGUUACUUAAAAAUACUUUUCGUCUCAUGUAGUGAGGGUACAAACAAAUAAUAGUAAACUUGAAAACCACAUUACCUUCCCUUAGAAAUCAUUUUUAUGGGUUGCUGUGGCUUAGUAAAGGCAUGGUGCAGGCGUUUAAUCCUGGCACCCGAGAGGCUAAGACAGGCUGAUCUCUGUGAGUUCAAGGCCAUCCUGGUGUAUAUAGUGAGUUCAGGCAAGCCAGGGCUGUAUAGAGGGACUCAGUCUAAACCCCUUUACCUUCUACCCCACCCCCCAAAAGAAGACUGAUUAAUUGCAUAAGGGCUAGUCUUUAAUUUGUGGUAAACAAUUGUCUUUCAGCCACUACUAGUUUAUUAGUUAAUUUUAAUUUGUUUUAGGUGAGGGCUUGUUACCAUGCACUGACUGGUAAGUAUUUUAGAAGCCAAGUCUCAAUGUCUCAAUGGGAAUAAUUGAAAUGCUAGAUAAGCAGAGAGAUUUAACUGUCUUUGGAUUCUUUGUUUUUGUCUUUGUUUUUCGUUUUUGUUUUUGUUUUUUGUUUUUGUUUUUUUUUUGGUUUUUUUUGAGACAGGGUUUUUCUAUGUGUAGCCUGGGCUGUCCUGGAACUCCCACUAUAGACAAGGCUGGCCUUGAGCUCAGAGAUCUAACUGCCUCAGCCUCCCAAGUGCUGGGAUUCAAGGUGUGUGCCACCAUGCCCAACUGAGAUUUAACUGAGAAGCAAAGACUUUAUGAUCACAACAAAGUGCUUUAAGAAUACAAUCCAUGCUGAGUUUAUUCAGUGCAUGGUGACAUUACCGACAAAGACUAUUGUGGUAGUUUAGCUUAAGCCAGGGACGUUCAUUCUGGAAAAAAAAAACAAUCUUUAGGCAGUGUUGGAAGCUUUUUAAAAAACCAGGCCUCAUGGUAGUGGCACAAACCUUUCAUUCCAUCACUAAGGAGGCAGAGGUAGCUGGAUUCUCUGUGAAUUUCAGGCCACCCUGGUCUUCAUAAUAAGUUCCAGGACAGCCAGGGAUACAUAGUGAAACCCUGUCUCAAAAAACCAAUUAAUCAACCAACCAGCCAACCCUUUUCAAAAAACCCUUCAGUAAAGUUUGUGUUUCUAGCACUCAGAAGGCUGAGGUAAGUGGAUCUUGAGUUGUAGACCAACCUGUGCUACAUAGAGAAAUCCUAUCUCAAAAACAAAACUACC
rnacentral:lncRNA from 1 species